AGGACGAACGCUGGCGGCGUGCUUAACACAUGCAAGUCACGGGGGCCCGCAAGGGCAACCGGCGAACGGGUGCGUAACACGUGAGCAACCUACCGAGAUGUGGGGGAUAGCCGGCCCAACGGCCGGGUAAUACCGCAUACGCUCUUUCCACGGCAUUGUGGAUUGAGGAAACCUCCGGGGGCAUUUCGAGGGGCUCGCGGCCUAUCAGCUAGUUGGUGCGGUCACGGCGCACCAAGGCGACGACGGGUAGCUGGUCUGAGAGGAUGGCCAGCCACAUUGGGACUGAGAAACGGCCCAGACUCCUACGGAGGCAGCAGUGGGGAAUCUUGCGCAAUGG
rnacentral:rRNA from 1 species